AUUGAACGCUGGCGGCAUGCUUUACACAUGCAAGUCGAACGGUAACAGGGAGCUUGCUCCGCUGACGAGUGGCGAACGGGUGAGUAAUGCGUCGGAACGUGCCGAGUAGUGGGGGAUAACGCAUCGAAAGGUGUGCUAAUACCGCAUACGUACUGAGGUAGAAAGUGGGGGACCUUCGGGCCUCACGCUAUUCGAGCGGCCGACGUCUGAUUAGCUAGUUGGUGAGGUAAAGGCUCACCAAGGCGACGAUCAGUAGCGGGUCUGAGGGGAUGAUCCGCCACACGGGGACUGAGACACGGCCCAGUCUCCUACGGGAGGCAGCAGGGGGGAAUUUUGGACAAUGGGCGCAAGCCUGAUCCAGCCAUGCCGCGUGUCUGAAGAAGGCCUUCGGGUUGUAAAGGACUUUUGUCCGGGAGCAAAUGCUGGUGGCUAACAUCCACCGGAGCUGAGAGUACCGGAAGAAUAAGCACCGGCUAACUACGUGCCAGCCGCCGCCGUAAUAC
rnacentral:rRNA from 1 species